rnacentral:rRNA from 4 species
AAAUUGAAGAGUUUGAUCAUGGCUCAGAUUGAACGCUGGCGGCAGGCCUAACACAUGCAAGUCGAGCGGUAGCACAGAGAGCUUGCUCUCGGGUGACGAGCGGCGGACGGGUGAGUAAUGUCUGGGAAACUGCCUGAUGGAGGGGGAUAACUACUGGAAACGGUAGCUAAUACCGCAUAACGUCGCAAGACCAAAGUGGGGGACCUUCGGGCCUCAUGCCAUCAGAUGUGCCCAGAUGGGAUUAGCUAGUAGGUGGGGUAAUGGCUCACCUAGGCGACGAUCCCUAGCUGGUCUGAGAGGAUGACCAGCCACACUGGAACUGAGACACGGUCCAGACUCCUACGGGAGGCAGCAGUGGGGAAUAUUGCACAAUGGGCGCAAGCCUGAUGCAGCCAUGCCGCGUGUAUGAAGAAGGCCUUCGGGUUGUAAAGUACUUUCAGCGAGGAGGAAGGC